UUCAGCGGGUGCCUCUCCAACCAACAUUUUAAAUACAAAAAACAAAACAUUAAACAAGACAUUGACAUUGACAAGAGGGCGCCACUAUCUCACCGCACCAAUUUUGCUAUGUUGAGAAAAUACACACAAAAAAUAAAAAAAAAUAAAAAAAUUAGGAAUACAACACUGGAGUCGACUCAUGACGCCAGCCCCCCUAGACAAAAUGCACUUUUAUAAAUGAAUCAAAAAUCGAAUUUGUCAAAAAAUCCAUAGAAAAAAAGGCUUAGCGAUCGCUUUUGGACUGACUUGCAAAUAUAAUGUGCACUUUGUCCAGACCCACAGGAUAAAUGUCAUGGCCAUGGUUAUGGCCAACCCAGUGUGCACCAAUGCAAGGACAAAAACAAAAAAUCACACAAUCACAAUUCACAGAUCGACCAGACAAACAUAAAAUAAAAUAAAUUAUUUCAACUUUAAAACAUUUAUAAAAAUGUUUAAUAAAUUAUACCAUUUAAAUACCCUUAAGCUAUUUCACUUCCCCUGCGAAUGCCACAAAACUCAAAGGCGUGAAACGGGAAAAAAAAAAAAAACAGAGAAAAGAAAAAAAAAUAAAAGAAAAUGGUUGAAGAUUUAUUGACGACCACAUGCUGCCACGCAACAAAAACGUGAUUUCACCCUUGGAACUGGACUUCACCACUUUGAUUCCUGAUUUUGAUUUUGAAGAAAGUGAUUUAUAGCUACACACUACAAAGGUCAAGCCAGAGAACAGAAUAAAUAAAAUAAAAUAAAGCAGGCCCAAGACGACGCUAAACGGAGUGCCCGGCGUUUUGAUUUCCACCCAUUGCCUUGGUUUUUUGGCAUGAAGUGCGAAGUAACUUGGAUGCACUCAUGCGCAGGGAGGGCCCCGAGAAUGAAAAUGGGGAAUAGGAAUGGGAAUGGUGCAACCUUGGAAGAACCCAGCGCUCUAUGAUCAUGAUCACGGCCUCUGUCCAUCAUUUUACUGCGGCUUACCGGCGCCAAGACGCCCUGAUAGGUCUCCUACGCUUGCCGCGCAUGACCCGUUGGGCGCGCAGAGGAGGAGGCAGGUCGUUCCAGCACCGGGACGCCGCAAAUCUGAAUGAUCCGCGAAAAGCUGCUGUGCGAUGUUUGGGUGUAGCAAAUAUGUGAGUGCAUAGCCUCUUUGGAUAUCUACUCUGAGCUUGGGCCCAUUCCAGUUUGCUGAACAGAUACUUAGGCCUUGCACUAUCCAGUAUGCCAAACAACAUGGUGGCCAGGUGCAAUCUUCGCCGAGCAGCCAUCUUUAACAUGCUUGAUGAGUUCAGGAAUGGCGUGAUGUGUGAUCUCGGAGGCACAGUGAAAC